GAAAUGUCAUUUUGACAAUUUAAAUUCGUGAUUUCAGAGAUGAAAAAAGUGUGAAGAAUUAUUUUCCACCGAAAUUUUCAACCAAAUUCGACACAAUUGCUCUGGCAGGAUUUUUUAACUUAGAUGCAUGUAUAUAAUCUUAGGAUUUGAAGAAUUUGAUUCCAGAAUCCGAGUUUAGUUUUCAGACAUCAACGUCAGUGAUGUUCCCAAA